CUCUAAUAUAAGCACAAAUUUUUUAUUUAUCACCCCUCCUUUGUGUAUUUUUUUUACAAUAGAUAGGGCAUCUCCUUCAAUUUCGACUGUCGUAAACCCCAGAUCCAGGCCCAGUUGAAGGCAUGCAAUAGCCUCGACUGCGAACACCAAGGCUCAAGAUCCUAAAGGAGAGGAGUCCAACAAGGGAAAAUCGAAGGUCAUCGAGUAACCGACUUGGAACUAUUUACCCAACACAAGAUAUCUCUGACCAUUUUGCGUACUUGGGACCAUCGUCGAAGUCAUCACAAUGGCUUGCAACUUUUUGGUACCCUCUUCUUAGUUGGCCUAAGAGAACAUUUCGACAUGUAUAGGCUAUUAUGUUUUGUUUGAACCCCAAUAUGUAAACUUUUAGCCAUGCGAAUAUGGCUUAAAUGCUAAGUUUGAAUUUAGCCUUAUGGGUGCUUAGUUAUAAGGUUCAGUAGAUUUGGCCUUGAUAAUUCGGUUUUGAUGGAGUAGUAGUCUAAGUCUAUUUGAUUAUUAUGCCGUAUGCCAUGGCUUAUCAUAUUUGGUGUUAUGUAUGUCAAAUUACUAGCUAAUCCAUGGAAACCAUAAAAUAGAUUUAGACAGCAGUAGUGGUGUGAAUUUGAAAAAUCACUAAAAAUAGUAAAAAUGGAAUUAAAUAAUGAAUAAAUUAUGGAAUCGAAUCUUGAUGAGUCUAUUUUCAUAUAGAAGAAGUAAAACAGAUAUAUGAGCUAUAUUGUGUGAGAUAUUUAAAAUUUUGUGAAACAGGGCCAGAACGAUUUCUGGAUCCCCUGUUCUGACUUUGGAAAUUUACCAUAAAUUUUACAAAGAUAAUUAGAAGUCAUGCUUUAUAUGUACAGAUUCUUUAUUGAGUCUAGUUUUAUUAGAGACAAACGGCAUAGUCAUUGAAUCUCUAUACAGGGAGAUAUCUGAUUUGUAAUACAUAGAGGUCAGAGUAGUCGAAUCCUGAAACAGGGGAGACUUUAACUAAUAAACUGUACUAAUUGGACCGACCAAAAAUUCUGGAAAAAUUUGAGUAGAUAGAUAUAUGAGUCUAGUUUCAGGAAAAAUUUACGGAAUUGGAUUUCGAGUUUCAGAACUCGAGAUAUGAUUUUUAAAGCAACUGUGAUGCAGUUACCCAGCUUGUCUAGAAAAUUUUAAAAUGAAUUGCAUGAGCUGUUUAAGUAAUAAAUUAAACCCGUUUACACCUUGUGUUCGACUCCGGCAACGGUCUCGAGUACGGGGUGUUAUAGAUAUACUGGAACUUGUGUAAGACUAUGUCGGGGACAUGAAGUCGAUGUCUGACCCCAUAUUUGAGGCUAAAUGAAUAUCCGAUAAUGUUCAAUAUACUUCAAUGGUGAAAGAAUGAUUUAAAGUUAACUAGAAAAUUAUAACCGUGUUGUGAGUGGUACAGGUACCCAUAUGGUAUGUAUGAAAUGUGAGCUCAAUAUAUGCUAUAUGAGGUGUAAUGAAUAUUGAUGAUGCCGCCUAUCUAACUCAAGGAUCAACGAAAGUCAAAGAUAUCGAUCGCACUAUCAAUCGAAGCUUUUGGUAUAGUUUGAUUUAUAUUUUUAAAUAUGGCUUGUAUAGGGCUUAGACUUUGCUAUUUUUGUGUCAUUGAAAACUGGCCAAAUGUGUUGGCUUGGGUUGGGAACCCUUCAUUUCGUAUUAAGCCUUGAAUAAUGGCUAAUAUUCAUUUUGAUUUAUAUGUAAAGAUGUUAUUUUCAUAGAUAAGUAAAAUGCACAAAUGGAAUGUUGUUUAUA